rnacentral:rRNA from 1 species
AUUGAACGCUGGCGGCAUGCCUUACACAUGCAAGUCGAACGGUAACGGGCCUUCGGGUGCCGACGAGUGGCGAACGGGUGAGUAAUACAUCGGAACGUGCCCGAUCGAGGGGGAUAACGAGGCGAAAGCUUUGCUAAUACCGCAUACGAUCUACGGAUGAAAGCAGGGGACCGCAAGGCCUUGCGCGGACGGAGUGGCCGAUGGCAGAUUAGGUAGUUGGUGGGAUAAAAGCUUACCAAGCCGACGAUCUGUAGCUGGUCUGAGAGGAUGAUCAGCCACACUGGGACUGAGACACGGCCCAGACUCCUACGGGAGGCAGCAGUGGGGAAUUUUGGACAAUGGGCGCAAGCCUGAUCCAGCCAUGCCGCGUGCAGGAUGAAGGCCUUCGGGUUGUAAACUGCUUUUGUACGGAACGAAAAGCCUUCUUUUAAUACAGGAGGGUCAUGACGGUACCGUAAGAAUAAGCACCGGCUAACUACGUG